UUCGCUGUGGGCUCUGUCUCCCUAAUAGACUGGCGAUUUGGUAAAAGGUUUUAGAGGGUUUUGUUUAACCAUUUCUGCAUGUGUUUUUAAUGAGCUCAUGAUGCUUUGUAACAAAGGCCAGGUUGUGAGGUUUGCAGCCUUUUUUCGGACCUGAUCCCCUCCCGCUGACCUGCAGAGUGAGCACCUGUGCUCCUCGCCUGGCUCACCUAUGGGAGUCAAGGUGGUGGGGCCAUCUCCGGGCCUGUCUUCAUGCCAGGGAUGAGUCAUGCGGUAGGCAGGGCGGAAGGAGUCUCUUUGUUGACAGCUCUCCAUCUGGACUUUGGAUACGGCCGGCCGUUCAUGGAGAGCCUGGGUGAGCUGGAAAGGACUGCUCAAAUCAGCCCCUCCAUGAAGGCCCGGGGCAGUAAAACACCUGCAAAGGAACUGCCUGGCAUUUCAGUUGCAAAAGCAGAGGAGCGUCCCCCCCAACCCCAGUUCCAGCCUUCCAACUUGAGUCUAGCCCAAAGCCUGCCCUCUAAUACAUAUCAUACUUGAUAUUAAAGUGAGAAGAGGGUGAUUUAUGGGAGCUGCGUGAGAACCGUGUUCCCCUCAGGGCCAGCCUAUGUGGAGUCGACACCUCUGUUCAGGUAUCAACUGAUAUGAAAACCAGUCGCAGGGAGAAUGGCCGGGAAGGAGAGAGCCUUACCACGCGCUUCCAACAGCAGCUCUGAACCCGCCUGUCCUGCGCAUGCCUACUGUUCAAAAGGAGAUGGAGCUGAGGGCAGGGUGCCUAUCUCUUCGUGUGCCUGUGACUCUCGGAGGAGCCAUGGUAUCCUUUAAACGUAUCCCCAGGGCUCCUGGAAACCUACAGCUCUGCGGUCGCGUGGCGGGACUGCGGCAAUAUGAGGCUUGCGUGUGCUAAGAGGAUGUGAGGACUUCUGUACCGCAUCCCUCAAAGCAGAGCUCCUUACAACCCCGCAGCUCUGGCCCCCAAGUGCCCUGCAACUUUCUCUGGGAGGGGCGCCCUUGAUUUCUAAAGCAUCCACAGCCUUGCCUCAGGCGGGACUGGCCAGGAGCUGAAAAGAGAAGGCUUGGAAGCUUUCUGGAAAGGCCUUGCUUCUAAAAACCAGAAAUUGGGAGGGAGGAAGUUGACAAGAAAUCUGCCCUCUUGUUCUUUGCUGACUAAACCGUGUUGUCUUUAUCGUUUCAUCUUUAAAAUAAACCUUUUGAGCCAGAUAUACCUCUGAGGUUCUUUCCAGCCCCAAGUUCUUAGGCAUCUUUUACCUAUUUAUCUGAAAUGCUGAUUGAACUUGAACAGGGAAAUAUUUUCCAAUUAGGGUAGAGAUGGUGGCUAACAUACUGUUAGGCUUUUGAGGCUCGUGUGAUCAAAGGCGUGCUUGCUCCGAUAAGGGCGGGCAGGGGGAGGGCUGGGGAGGGUCUCUCCCGGCUGCUGGGGUUUUAACUCAGGUUUACACAUGUCAGCCAUGUGCUAAGCAUAUGCUUUCUGGUCUGUGGUCAAGCCCAGUGGGUUUAGGGUUAAUUUUUUUUUAUUUUUUAACAGGCAAAA